rnacentral:rRNA from 1 species
UGGGGAAUUUUGCACAAUGGGGGGAACCUUGAUGCAGCGACGCCGCGUGAGGGAUGGAGGCCUUCGGGUUGUGAACCUCUUUCGCUCGUGUGCAAGCCGCUAUUUGGGUAGUGGUGAGUGUAGCGGGUAAAGAAGCGCCGGCUAACUACGUGCCAGCAGCCGCGGUAAUACGUAGGGCGCGAGCGUUGUCCGGAUUUAUUGGGCGUAAAGGGCUUGUAGGCGGUUUGUCGCGCCUGUCGUGUAAUCCUCUGGCUUAACUGGGGGUGUGCGGUGGGUACGGGCAGGCUUGAGUGCGGUAGGGGAGAUUGGAAUUCCUGGUGUAGCGGUGGAGUGCGCAGAUAUCAGGAGGAACACCGGUGGCGAAGGCGGGUCUCUGGGCCGUUACUGACGCUGAGGGGCGAAAGCGUGGGGAGCGAACAGG